rfam:Schistosoma mansoni strain Puerto Rico chromosome 7, complete genome
AUCCAACUGAAGAAUUCCAAAUAGAAUGAAACGCAGAUCCUGGAU